rnacentral:rRNA from 1 species
CUCCUACGGGAGGCAGCAGUGGGAAUUUUGCGCAAUGGGGAAACCCUGACGCAGCAACGCCGCGUGGAGGAUGAAAUCCCUUGGGAUGUAAACUCCUUUCGAUGGGGAAGAUAAUGACGGUACCCAUAGAAGAAGCCCGGCUAACUUCGUGCCAGCCGCCGCGGUAAUAC